AUUGCGAAUCGUUGCCUUCAGUGCUGGCCGGCUUCGGCAAGUGCACGUCGGUGACUUUCAUCCAAUACCCUGUGAACCUUUGGCCUCUUGCUAGCUUCGGCCGGCAGAGGAUUUUACACAAACUCGAAUGUAAUGAAAUUUAUUGUCGUGCGCAAGCACUAAUGUACAACUUUCAACAACGGAUCUCUUGGCUCUCGCAUCGAUGAAGAACGCAGCGAAAUGCGAUAAGUAAUGUGAAUUGCAGAAUUCAGUGAAUCAUCGAAUCUUUGAACGCACCUUGCACCUUUUGGCAUUCCGAAAGGUAUGCUCGUUUGAGUGUCAUUGUACUCUCACACUCCCAAUGCUUUUGGAUUGGGAGUGGUGGACUUGGGUGUUGCUGCUUUACUGUGGCUCGCCUCAAAUGGAGUAGUGCAACUCUCGGUUGGACAUAGUACGGCGUGAUAAGUGUCUUCGCCGGCGCCUCACUAGAGGGUGGCCGAUCAGGAGCUCUGUGCUUCAAACCGUCUUCGGACAAUAUCUGACAACUUGACCUCAAAU
rnacentral:sRNA from 1 species